AACACCUGUGUAUUGUGAAACUUUAGGUUAGAAACAGAGUGACAUUUUUACUUCAUGAUAUACACACAAGGACGUUUUUCUACUCAUCAAUACCAACAAUUUUGACAUGUUUCAGAAAAUGUGACGUUGCAUAACUAAGUACCGCUCGCCCUAUUUCACACAUUUUCGGUUAUUUGUUCACGUUGGGAAAUACUCAAUGAAAAUGUUAAUGAUAUUAGGAUUUUUACUAGUGACAAUGAACUCUAUAAAGUGCUACAUGCAUGAACAACGUGAUUACAUGUACGAAAUUAACAGACCUAGAGAUGUACCAUACUAUAUCAAAGAAGCUCUUGAAGUUAAGAACAAAUUCAAACCUUGGCCACGUGCGAAGAAAAAGACUCUGGAAAACCUGUCUAUGCGAGACGUUUUUGAGAAAAUAAAAAACGUCACUGCUGCUCUGAAUAAACAUGCUAAACGGAAUGGUUAUAAGGUUGAUUAUAAAUUUAGGAUACUAGAAUAGUGAUGUUUGUUUGUGACUGCUAUAAGCUUAA